rnacentral:rRNA from 1 species
AUUAGCUCCGGCAUGAACCUCAUAGGAGGGCCCAUUGCCUAGUGCCCAUCGUUUACGGCUAGGACUACCGGGGUAUCUAAUCCCGUUCGCUACCCUAGCUUUCGCACCUCAGCGUCAGAGACGGACCAGUGAGCCGCUUUCGCCACCGGUGUUCCUCCAGAUAUCUAUACAUUUCACCGUUCCACCUGGAGUUCCACUCACCCCUUCCGUCCUCAAGCUCGCCAGUAUCAGGUGCAGUUCCACGGUUGAGCCGUGGGCUUUCACACCUGACUGAGCGAGCCGCCUACGUGCUCUUUAUGCCCAGUAAAUCCGAACUACGCUUGCGCCCUCCGU